GCCGAGCCCGGUAACGCCGGCUUGUAACCCGAGUGGGGGCAAUAAGGUGGUGGGAUGUUGUGUUCAGCCCGAAUAGGUUGGGUGCGGUCGUGCUAGACUUGGCUUGCCCGUUCCAAGUCAGGCAGCUGAGCUAUGUGGCCCGAACGAAGGCCCGAGCCAUCUGGGAUCCUAAAGCGGAGGACACCGCGUCAGGCUGGUUUCACAGAGCAGCGAUAACCUCCCGCUCUUGACGGUGGAAGGAUAACAGGCCGGUGCACGCCACACUCGCCGUACCUAUCGGGCUAACACUGACCAAACCACCACUUUU
rfam:Musa acuminata subsp. malaccensis Doubled-haploid Pahang (DH-Pahang) genomic chromosome, chr9